rnacentral:rRNA from 1 species
UACGUAGGUGGCAAGGCGUUGUCCGGAUUUACUGGGCGUAAAGAGCGCGCAGGCGGUCGAAUAAGUCGAGUGUGAAAAGCCCCCGGCUCAACUGGGGAGGGUCACUGAUGACUGAUCGACUCGAAGGCAGGAGAGGGUAGUGGGAAAUUCCCGGUGUAGUGGUGAAAUGCGUAGAUAAUCGGGAGGAACACCAGUGGCGAAGGCGGGUCUCUGGACAGUUCCUGACACUGAGACACGAAGGCCAGGGGAGCAAACGGGG